rnacentral:misc_RNA from 1 species
GUUUUGAUCAAUUUAGGAUUUUAAGUCUUUAGCUGUAAUUAGUUUGAUUGUUUAGGAUUUUGGAAAUGAGGAUUUUUGGUCUAGCAUGUGAUAGAUUUGUUUGAUUUAUGUAUAGUUCAGUAUUCGGUGUAGACGCCGUUGUUUUGAUCAAUUUAGGGUUCAAAUUUUAGCUUUGAUCAGUUCAGUGGAUUAGGAGUUAGUGAAAAUGAAGAUUGUGGAAUUGGAUGACUCGUUAAUAGAAGGUGAUAGUAAGUGUGUGAACUCUGAGAGACGUGUGAUUGUUGGUGUUGAU